rnacentral:misc_RNA from 1 species
UGAAGGAAUGAACGGUCAGAAUCUUGAUGGCCGUAAUAUUACUGUGAAUGAAGCUCAGUCCCGCGGAAGUGGAGGUGGCAACGGUGGGUACAAUCGUGGUGGCGGUGGCUACGGAGGUGGUGGACGCCGUGAAGGUGGUUACGGAGGUGGUUACAACCGUGGUGGAGGUGGAUAUGGUGGAGGUGGUUAUGGUGGUGGCCGUGACCGUGGAUACGGUGAUGGGGGAUCUCGUUACUCUAGGGGUGGUGGUGCCUCUGACGGAAACUGGAGGAAUUAGGGUGUAGCGUUAAUAUUCUGUGAUGGGUUUGCUGUGAUUUGUUGGGUUUAUGAUUCCUUAGGAUGUUCGGUUAGCUGGUCUUUAUUGAUGGUAUCUUCCCUUUGAUAAAGUUGUAGAUCAUUUUUGAUCGAUGGAUACUUGUGUCGUGCUAUGAAUAA